UACGAAGGGGGCUAGCGUUGUUCGGAAUUACUGGGCGUAAAGGGCGCGUAGGCGGUGUGUCAAGUCAGGCGUGAAAGCCCCGGGCUCAACCUGGGAACAGCGCUUGAGACUGGCACGCUCGAGUUCGGGAGAGGAUGGUGGAAUUCCCAGUGUAGAGGUGAAAUUCGUAGAUAUUGGGAAGAACACCGAUGGCGAAGGCAGCCAUCUGGACCGACACUGACGCUGAGGCGCGAAAGCGUGGGGGAGCAAACAGG
rnacentral:rRNA from 1 species